rnacentral:rRNA from 1 species
AUUGAACGCUGGCGGCAGGCUUAACACAUGCAAGUCGAGCGAUCGGCGGACGGGUGAGUAAUGUCUGGGAAACUGCCUGAUGGAGGGGGAUAACUACUGGAAACGGUAGCUAAUACCGCAUACCAUCAGAUGUGCCCAGAGGGGAUUAGCUGGUAGGUGGGGUAAUGGCGCACCUAGGCGACGAUCCCUAGGUGGUUUGAGAGGAUGACCAGCCGCCCGGGAACAGUGAAACGGUCCAGACGCCUACGGUAGGCAGCAGUGGAGAAGAUGGGACAAUUGGCGAAAGCCUGAUGGAGCCAUGCAGCGAGGGUGAAGAAGGCCUUCGGGUUGUAAAGCACUAUCAGUGAGGAGGGGUUACUCGCAGAAGAAGCACCGGCUAACUCCGUGCCAGCAGCCGCGGUAAUAC